AUUGUCAGUUGUCCACCGAUUCUCGAAACAGUUGAAUGGCUGCGCGCUCUGCGUGUAAAUAGUACCUCUACGAGUUCGAACACCGCCACCUCUGAUCAGUGUCCAAAAAACGAUUUUGUUUUGUUUUUUCGAAAAAACGAUUUUACUAAAUGAUUUUGAAUUUAGUGCAGUGUAGUCACCAAACGAACAACGAAUUAAAAACGAAACGCAACUUAUACAUUCCUGAAUUUAAGCUCAACUGCAACUAACAAAACAAAACACUUAAAAAAAAUAGAAAAUAUUUAGUGCGCGUGUAGCCGUGUAAUGUGUUAAAAAAUUGUGACCAAGAGAUGUCGACACAGAACUACUACAAGGAAAAACUAGGCUUCGAUCCUAAAGAAGGUUCUUACUACGAUGCUCCUCCAGAAAAGUACCGAAAGACAGACGAGAAGCCCCAUGGAUACGAGGAGAACUUGACCAAGUUCAAAGGUACUAUUUGGGAUCUUUUUAUUGAGUCCUUGGAAGACGAAAGAGACGCCGUUCAGAAGAAAACUUUUACAAAAUGGGUCAACAAACAUCUAAAGAAGACUUAUACAUGUCUUCAUGUGUGUGUUCUCGUAAACAACAUCCCUUGUUGUCCCCCUACAGCACGUCGUCAAAUUCGAGAUCUAUUCGAAGAUUUACGAGAUGGACACAACCUGAUUUCCCUCUUGGAAGUUCUAACUGGCGAACAACUUCCAAGAGAGAAAGGCGUGAUGCGAUUCCACAUGUUACAUAAUAUUGAUACGGCGCUGCAUUUUCUGCGAUGUAAGAAUGUCAAGCUGGUCAACAUCCGGUCAGAAGAUAUCGUUGACGGAAAUCCCAAGCUAACUUUGGGUCUGAUUUGGACCAUCAUCUUGCACUUCCAGAUUUCGGAUAUAGUCGUUGGUCAAGAACCCAACGUUUCAGCCAAGGACUACCUCCUCAGAUGGGCAAAACGAACCACCCACCGCUACCCUGGUGUCCAGGUCACAGAUUUCACGAAGUCAUGGCGAGACGGUUUGGCCUUCUCGUCGAUCAUACACAGGAACAGGCCGGAUUUGAUCGAUUUCGGAAAGGCCAGGCAGCAAAGGCCAAGAGAAAGAAUGGAGACUGCGUUCUUCAUUGCCGAAAGAGAAUAUGGAGUCACAAGAUUGUUGGAUCCCGAAGAUGUUGAUACUCCAAACCCUGACGAAAAAUCCCUUAUUACCUACAUCUCCUCCUUGCACGAAGUCUUCCCAGAGCCUCCACCAAUCCACCCGCUGUACGACUCGGCAGCUCAGCAGAGAGUUCAGGAAUACAGAGAAAUCGCUUCUUCUCUCCAUAUGUGGAUCAGAGAAAAGUAUUCAUUGAUGCAAGACCAUUCCUUCCCUCCAACUUUGAUAGAAAUGAAGAAAUUAGCUGCAGAAUCGUCGAAGUUUAGAACAGACGAAGUACCACCACGACAAAGAGAUAAGAACUACUGCGCGCAGUUGUUUAAAGAAUUGGAAAAAUACUUCAGGAGCGUUGGAGAGGUUGAAGUUGAACCUGAGCUGCACAUUGAUAAUAUCGAGAGGAGUUGGCAGCGUUUGAUGGAAGCCUACCAAAUUCGAGAUAGAAGAAUCGCGGAGGAGAUCAAGAGGUUAGAAAAGUUACAGAGGUUGGCCGAAAAGGUUCACAGAGAAAUUAAGCAAACUGAUUCGAAUCUAGACACAAUCGAACGAGCAAUCGAAAACGAAUCGAGAAGAAUUGAACGAAUCCAUCCCUUGGAAGCUAAAAAAAUUGCAGAUCAAAUAGACCAAGAUUUAACUACAAUUGAACAGAACAUACAAUCACUUAGGACCGACGUCAACACAUUGAGGAACGGAAGGUAUCCUCAAGCUAGUGAUUUAGACAAACGAGUGAAUAAAUUACACGAGAGAUGGGUAAAUAUGAGACAUUUGCUACACAAUAAAAUCGUCGGUCCUCUCGCAAAUUUGAGUUUCCCGGUUGAAGAAAGAACCGUAACCAAACAUAUUCGUACUGUACAGGAAACCCGAAACGUAGACACCAAUCCACAUUUUAGAACUCUACAGGAACAUAUCGAAUGGUGCAAAAAUAAAAUGAAACAACUCAAGAAGGCAGACUAUGGAACUGAUUUGGCCUCAGUUUCUACGGAACGAGACAUUCAUCAAAGGGAACACAAGACGAUCGACCAAUUCCAUUCCAAGGUCGAAGCUUGUGUAACAGCCCGUCAAUAUUUCCAAGGCGAGGAACUUAUUUUGUAUAAUCAACUCUUAGGCCAGCUGCAAAAGAUCUAUGCCGAGCUAUUGUCAUUUAGUACAAGCAGAAUGACAGAUUUGGAAACGUUACUCGACUUUAUCCAAAGUGCUACAAACGAGCUGAGUUGGUUAAACGAAAAAGAAGAAAUCGAAGUUACCAGAGACUGGAGUGAUACUAAAUUAGAUGUUAGAGGUGUAGAAAAAUAUUUUGAGAAUCUGAUGAGCGACUUAGAAAAACGAGAAAUCCAAUUCAAUUCCGUCCUAGAAAGAGGUGAAUCUUUAGUUCUUCAAAAUCACCCAGCUACGAAAGCUAUCGAAGCUCACAUGGCUGCCAUGAACGCCCAAUGGGCUUGGCUUUUACAGCUUACGCAUUGUUUGGAAACGCAUCUCCUAAACACCAGGAAUUAUCAAGCGUUCUUCAAGGAUGUCCAAGCUACCGAAGAGUGGCUUAAAGAAAAAGACGAAAUCAUGAAUACCGAAUUUAGCCAAGGGGACUUUAGUCUCGACGUUGGCGAAAAACUUCUACAGGGUAUGCAAAACCUCAGGGACGAACUCAACAAUUUCGGUGAUCAGGUGCAAGCCUUGACUGCCCGUGCCCAAGAUAUAGUGCCUUUAAAACAACGUAGACAGCCCGUCACCAGACCUAUGACAGUAACUGCCAUCUGCAACUACAAACAGAACAAUUUUGUAAUUGAAAAGAAUAAGGAAUGCACACUGACGGAUAACUCUGGACGUACCAAAUGGCGCGUGCACAAUUCUAAAGGAAUCGAGUGUCAAGUUCCUGGAGUUUGUUUCGUUCUUCCUCCACCAGAUAAAGACGCUUUGGAUGCUGCUGAUCGUCUGCGACGACAGUAUGAUCGAUCUUUGGCUUUAUGGCAAAAGAAGCAACUCAGGAUGAGACAAAAUAUGAUCUUCGCUACCAUCAAAGUCGUGAAAGGCUGGGAUUUACCACAAUUCAUCGCCAUUGGCGCCGAACAAAGAAACGCCAUCAGAAAGGCUCUUAACGAAGACGCAGAUAAACUUAUGGCCGAAGGAGAUCCAUCUGAUCCUCAGUUAAGAAGGUUGAGAAGAGAAAUGGAUGAAGUUAACAGGUUGUUUGAUGAGUUCGAAAAGCGUGCUAGAGCAGAAGAGGAAAGCAAAAACCAAGCAAGAAUAUUCAACACUCAAAUUUCCAACCUUCAACUGGCCUUAGACGAAGCAGAACGCAUUAUAAACCAACGAGUACUAUCCCCACUUCCAAGAGACAUCGACACUCUUCAGCACUUAGUUCUAGAACACAAAGAAUUCGAGUCGAGACUCCAAAACCUGGAACCAGAAGUAGAACAAGUCAAAGAUACCUUCAGAUCCAUUACACUGAAGACCCCACAACACAAGAAAGAUUUAGAAAAAGUUUUGGACAAAUGGAAGUACAUUUGGAACACUAGCAACAUUUACAUUGAAAGGUUGAAAUGCAUAGAGAUAGUUCUAAAUGGAAUGGACGAUGCUACCCAGGUUAUUUCCGAAUUUGAGAAGAAGUUGGCAUUGUUCGACGAACUUCCCAACACCAAAAAGGGAUUGGAGGAUGUUCAUGAUGAUUUAUUAAAACUAGAAUCUGCUGUCGGUCAGCAACAGAUCGCCAUGGACCAACUCAACGACGAUUUCGACAACACCAGACGAUUAACUGAAAAGUCCAGACCAAACCAACGCGGUCCUCAUGCCGACGUCGAGCGUCUGGAUAAGGAGAUCCAGAAAUUGAACAACCGCUGGAGUAACGUCUGCGCGCAGCUCGCUGAUAGGCUCAGAGGUUGCAAGCAAGCUUAUGAUUUGUUGAAGAAUUACGGCGAAGCCAAAGUGGUCGAGGAUGAUUGGCUGAACGAGCAGUACGGAAAAUUAGAAACUUUGCAGCCUAUCAAAGAUCGAGCUAAGGAACAUUUAGAUGCCACCAGAAAUCUUCUCAACAGUGUGGUCGAGAGAGCACCCAAGAUCGAGCAGGUCAACGUAAAUGGAGGACGCUUCAUACGAGAGGGCAAGAUAUGGAGCAAAGGGGCGCAGAAGUUCCGCGAGGCUCUGCUCGAGUACCAGCCUUCUCUCGACGCCAACGCUGCGGUCUGGAACACCAGGCAACCUUCCGGAGCCGAUCUGGUGGCCAAAGAGCUGGACGAGUUCAACGAGAGGUACCAGUACUUGGUGGACUUCUUGUACGACCGGCUGAGGCAGAUCGCUGACAAGUGCAAAGGGGAUAUAGUUACACUGAGACUGGUGGAGCAAAUGCAACCACAACCUUUUAGAACGUUUAGGACUGAAUUCCAUAUGAGCAGUGCCAGUGAACACACAUCUACCUAUACCACAACUACUCACUACAGUAAACAGUACAUUCAAACAUCAAAAACAGAAAAUGGAAACGGAACAUCACCAAAAUCCCCAGAAGAUCAAAGAACCAUCAGACGAAUAGAUGAAUCCGACAAUAUUACAAACGGUAGACCCCCCGAUAAACACACUACCUUUACGCACAUUAUCCAAGAACCCGAACCUUGGAUAACCACCAUGCAUUUCAACGAGAUAAAAUCGUUGAAACGAAUACACAGGGUGCAUGAGGGUAUCAGUACUGAUGACAUAAACGAUAUAGAAGGUAUUUUGAAUCCUUACACUGGAGAGCGAUUGACUAUCAAAGAAGCCAUAGCAGAACGAAUAUUAGAUGUUAGAACCGGCAAAGUAGUGAUCUCCACCGAUGGUACCCAGGUGUCCAUUAACGAAGCACAAAAUUUAGGCAAAGUAGAUUCGACAAUAGCCGAAAGACUGCAGGGACCGUGUGGUAUAACUGAGAACGGCAGAGAUUUGACGCUUUUGGAAGCCAUACAACGUGAAAUCUAUGAAGCAGAGCACGGAUUCCUAGACCCGUCAGAAAAACGUAUAAAGGUAACGCAUUCCACAACAAUAAACCAAGCUAUAGACGACGGUAAAGUUGACGUCAAUUUAGGUACAUAUACUCUCGAAAGUGGGGAAAGAAUAGAUAUCAAAGAAGCUUAUAAUAGAGGUUACCUUCUAGAACACACGGAAGUCAAGUUACAAACCGGUGCAGUUACUUUAUCAGACGCGAUUACACAGGAACUAGUAGAUGAAAGAACUGGUUGGGUUGUGGAUAGGAACUCGGGGAAUAAAUAUCAAAUUGAUGCCGCUGUUAAAUGUAACGUAGUAGAAAGUGACGUAAGGGAAAUCGUAGAUCCUAAAACAGACAACAAAAUUACCAUUUUACAAGCUUUAGAUAAUAACUUGAUAAAUCCUAAAUUGGGAAAAUACAUUCUAGGUCACGAAAAAAUUUCUUUCCUUGAAGCCAAAAGGCGACAACUAAUAGUAAAGCCAAAAUCUUUAAAAGAAAUUAUAGAUGAUAAUCUCAUGGACGCAGACGGUUUAAUAUCAUCCCCUACGCAUCACACACAGUUAACUCUAUUAGAAGCAGCAAACCGUGGCGUAUUAGAUUUAGACUCGCUUAAGACUAUCUUAGACCUAAGAACAAACGAAUACAUCACUCUAAGUGAAGCAUUGAAAGAAGGAAUUAUCUUACACGACAGCAGGUUUAGAAACUCAGUUACCAAUGAAGUCUUGCCAAUUCAGGAAGCUGUAAGUCGAGGUUAUAUAAUAUCCGUAGUCAAAAAGUCUAUCUUUGAUGUAGACGGCUUCCAACCGCCUGACAAAACCGACCACAUAAGCUUCAAUGCAGCCAAUACUAAAGGUUAUAUUAGCAAAAAAUCUAACGGUAGUUUACUGGUCAACAAGAAAAACGGCAAACUCCUUUCAUUUUCGGACGCAGUCCAAUCAGGAGAAGUAAAACCAGAGGUUUAUGAGAACCUUAUUCGACCAAUAGGUAUUGUAGAAAAUCAACAAGAGUUAACCCUUCUAGAGGCUGUAUUCCGGGGUUACAUCGAACCCAAAACCGGUAACUUACUGGAACCAUCAACUGGUAAAGUUGUGUUUUUAAACGAUGCUAUAGCCCAGCAUUUUAUAACACCAGAAGGUGCUGCAUUAUUAAAUAGUCUUUUAAAUUUGAACGUCUCCACAAGAGUUACACGUACUCUAGUCCAACGAUAUGUUACUGUUACUAGUCAAGAUGUUACACAAGAAAUCAUGACAUAUACCGAAGCCUUGAGGUUAGGUUUGAUUAAUAACGAACAACAGACUUACACCGAUCCUCAGACACAUGAGGUCAUUCCAAUAGUUCAAGCUAUCAGCGAAGGAAAACUAGCCCCCGACUCUGAAAAUUCAGAAAAGAUAGUAACAGGUCAAAUAAUAAAAGCUCCUACAGUAAGUACAUCAACAUCAACUAAAACGUUUAAUGAUAAGGGUGUUACAACAGACUUCAUUACGAACGAAAAGAAAUCGUUUGAAAAACAUAUUUAUGCUUUGCCUUCCGAGGGUUUGUCACUGUCUCAAGCAAUCAGUCAAAAACUAUAUGAUCCUAUGCAUGGUUUGUUCCUCAUUCAAGGUACAGAUCGUCAGGUUACCUUUGAGGAAUGUGUUAAUCUUAAACUUAUUAAUCCAAAUUCACUAACUGUUGUAGAUCCAGUCAGUAAAAAUAAAUUGCCAGUUAAUAAAGCUCUGGAGAAGAAAAUUAUAGAUUCAACUGGUCAUUAUAUUUCUUCCGAGGGAAAGAUAAGUAUGCAAAAAGCUAUAGAGAGAGGACUUAUUACAUUUGAAGACGUAAUGGACCUAGAUCAACCGAAUAAAACAGUAACAACAAUCAAAGUAGUGAGAAUAGAACCGAACGUAAUAUAUGAUCCCUCAUCACACGAUGUUACUUUCUUAGAUAAAAAUCAAUCGUCAGAUAUAGCCACUGCUUUAACUGAACAUAAAAUUCCUCUUGAAAAAAUUACCAUAAAAGAUCCAAAAACAAAUAAAAUUAUUCCAGUUAGCCAAGCAGUUGAGCAAAACAUUGUGGACUUAAAACGAGGCACUGUUGUCGAUAAUUCUGGUAACAAGAUAACAUUGAAAGAUGCCGCUCAAUUAGGUCUGUUGGCUGUUGUAGGUGCUCCAGUAGUUGCUACCAAGGCAACCAUAAAAAUAGUUAAACACUUUUUCGUUACCGAUCCAAAGACUGGUGAACAAAUUCCUGCUGAGGUAGCCCUUGAAAAAGGUAUAAUAGACCAACCUACUCUAGAAAAAUUAGAAGAACAAACUAACGCGACGCAGCAAGUAGUUUCAGAUUAUUUGCCUACUCAGGGAAUUGCUCAAAUUGAGCCUUCCAAAAUAAAGACAUUAAGUACUGCCACUAUUAGUUUAUACGAACAAGAUGGACCCUCUGAAGCCGAAAAAACUCGAGCUCGUAUAACGAUAGAGCCUAGCUAUAAAGUUAAAAUUGGCAGAGCCCAGUCUCUUAGCCCUGAACGUGAGGCUAAGAAAGUUGUUUUACAAAAACUAAGGAAGAAGAUCGUGAAACCUAAAGACGCUGUUAGUGCAGGAAUUAUUGAUUCAGAAACAGCUCAAAUUUUAGAUCAAAAAAGUGUGUUUGUAUCUUCUAGCGGAGAACCUCUUACCUUACAAGAAGCUUUAGAAGCCCAAAAAUUAGAUGGAGAGCAAGGUAAGAUCAUAGAUCCCCAAAGAGGUGAUUUACUUACUAUAAACGAAGCCAUUGACCGUGGUAUCUUAGAUCCAGAUGGUACGAAUGAACUCUUAGUGCCUUUAAAUCGUAGCCUAUCAAUUCCUGAACUUGUGAAACAGGGACUAUUAGAUCCCAGUAGCCAUAAAAUUGUCCAUCCAGAAACUGGUGCUCAUUUAAGUAUUAGUGAAGCAAUUGUCUGUGAUAUUGUUGAUCCUUUGAGUACUUUAGUAGAAAAGUCUGGCGAUAAAGUCACUUUAGGUAAAGCUUUAGAAAUAGGUGUAGUAGAUGACGAAAAAUCCACCGUAGAGACAAAUUCCGGUACUAAAGACUUGCAAGAAGCUGUGAAAGACAAAAUAUUUGAUGUUGAAGUACCUGCCGGACCAGUUGAGUUACCUCCCGCAGGUAUGACAUUCCCAGUAGCUGUGAAAAGAGGUCUUGUGGAUACUGACAAGAAAGAAAUUAUCCACCCUCUAACUAACGAAUCCAUUCCAUUAGCUGAAGCCAUUGAAGACAAUUUUAUUAUGACAUUACCUUUUCCCACUAGUCCUGAUUCUGUAAAGAUAGAAAAUGCCUUAGAAUCAAACCUAAUAGAUUCAAAGAAUUCCACUUUUAAAGAUCCAAAAACGGGAGAUAUUUAUCCCAUUUCCGAGGCUGUAGAGAAAGGGUUACUAGUUUUAAAAGAACCCCUUCACGUCGUAUCAUUCAGUCAUUCCACACCUGUAACUACUUUAACCGAAACUGUUAACACUAUUCAUACUGUAACUACUAAAACUAUCGAACUGUUAUCAGGAUAUGCCAUGUUAAGUAAAAACGAAAUUCAAAAUAUAGAAACUGGUGCAGUUAUUACUAUGGAAGAAGCUCUGCAACAAGGUAUUGUUAAAGAUGUCAACGAAACUAAGAACAGAACAAUUGUAAAGGACAUAAAAAUGAGUUUUUCAGAUGCUUUAAACAAAGGUUUGGUUGAUAUGAAUGCAGGAAUUUAUUUGGAUCCUAGUUCGGGUGAAAAAUUAUCGAUAGAACAAGCUUUGCAAGAAGGCAAACUUCUGGCAGCUCCUGAAGGUACCCAAGAACUGAUUGAAACUCAUAAAACUACAGAGUUGACCAUUGCAGAAGCUUACGAAACGCUGUAUGAUAAAGAGACCAGUACCUUCCGCGAUCCAGAUGAUAAAACUAAGGAAUUAACAUUUAAGGAAGCUAUAGAGAAAGAAAUAAUAGACCCUAAUUCAAUAGUAUAUGAUGUGACUUCCAAUAAACCUAUCACAGUUGAACAAGCUGUUGAAAAAGGACUAUUAGAUCCUAAAACAGGAAAUGUUAAAGACGAAAAAACCGGCAAAUCUAUAGACUUCAAAGAAGCUACAAAGAAAGGCUUAAUAGCUGUUUUAGGUGGAUUAGCCUUGCCUGUUGUAGCACCUGUAUUAGCUGGGGCUGCUGCUGUAAAAGCAGUAAAGGAAUAUGCUGACAAGAAAAAAGCAGAAAAACAAGCGGAAGAGAUUUAUUCACAAAAGAAUCUUAAGCCAGUUCAAAUAGAUUUGCCCCAUACCAAAGACACGACUAAAGAAGAAGUUACUGUAAUCAUUGACAUGCCUCAACAAUCAAUUGUACUUCCAAUAGGAGACGCCAUUUCGCAGCAUAAAAUCGAACCUAAAAUUUGUAGAGUUAUUUACAACAAUGAAGAAUUACCAUAUACAGUACAAGAUGGUUUAAAUGAAAACAAACUAAGUCCUCUAAAUAAUGUUCAGAUCAUCUCAAAUCACAAAGUUGUGUUAGUCGAUGAUUCUAAGAUUGCCGUUUUGGUCAUAUCAAAACAUUUAACGCCUCAGAUGAUGGCUGAAUUAGGGUAUUACGAUAUAAGAACUCGAACCUUCACAAAUCCCCAAACAGGGGCUUACAUUACCUUUGAAGAAUUAAUAUACGGUCUAGGUGUAUUUGAUCCCAACACAAUUUUGGUCAAAGACUCCACCAAGAAACCUCCCAUCUACAUUCCUCUUGAAGAAGCUUUAAAUAGAAGGCUGAUCGACAGGCAAAAGGGAUACAUGGUUGAUCCUAAAACAGGUAAGAAAGUACCGUUCUUCGAAGCAGUUAAACUGAGAUGGAUCAUACACGUUAACGAUAAACCUAAGGAGAAGUACCAACCUCUUUCGUUGCAGGAAAUUGUAGAAACUGAGAAAUUCGAUCCUGUUAACGUAACUGUCAAAUUAGAUGACAAAGAACUGCCGUUGAUUAAAGCUAUUACAUCCAAUAUUGUUGAUGGUAAAUCAGUUACAAUACGAGAUCCAAGAACGAUGCAACUUGUUCCUUACUAUGAAGCUGUAGACAAAUCUAUCGUCGAUCCUCAAAGAGGCUUAGUUAUUAACACUGCCACACAGAGCACUAUGAGAUUUCCUGAAGCGUUUGUUAAGGGCUAUGUUUUAGCCAUUCCAAGACCUAUUUCAUUACAAGCUGUUAUACAUAAAGGAAUGUACGACUUACAGACGUGCAAAGUUAAUGAUCCACUGACUAAACUACCACUUUCAAUAGCUGAUGCAGUCGAUCGCCAAAUAAUCGACGACAAAAUAAGCGAAAUUAAAGAUGUCAAGAGUAACACUUUCAUACCUCUCGAUGAAGCAUUGAAGAAUAAUUUAGUAGACUCAGUUGAAGGCAAAAUUAAAAACACGCAAACUGGACAACUAGUUCCUUUAGAUCAAGCUUUGGAGACUAACUUGAUCCGAACAAAACCUGUUGUAUUUAAUUUACUGCAAGCUAUCAUUCAAAACUAUUAUUCACCCCGAACAGGACUAAUCUUGAAUCCCAUAACAGGUGAUGAAAUUACGCUCCAAAAAGCCAUUGAAUACAAGUUAAUAGACCCAGUAACGACUAGAAUUAAAGACGACAAACGUGGCCGUAUAGUUGAAAUAAAAGAAGCAAUCCAGUCGAAUCUAUUAGAUGUUGAGAAAGGUAUCCUUACAAGCCCUCUCUUACCAUUAGAUCAAGCUUACCUCAAAGGUUACAUAUUAAGUACCGUUUUGCCAUGGUCUCUUCAAGAAACUUUAGCCCAAAAAGUCUAUGACCCGAAGACAGGACAGUUCACUAUAAACAACGCGAAAAUAACACUUGUCGAAGCUAUAGAUGGAGGAAUUGUUAACCCUAAUGUCCUAACGAUUAAAGAACCCAGAUCUGGAGAUAUUAUUACUCUAAAUGAUGCUAUUAACUUAAAAAUUAUAGAUCCGGUAAAGGGAACUGCAUUGAAUCCUGUAACCAACACUGAUGCAAAUCUGUACGAAGCUUACGAUAGUGGGUUAAUAGUACCUUACAAGAGUCAAAUAACUCUUCCUGAAGCAGUCUUCAAAGGUUUCUAUGAUCCGAAUACGGGUAAGUUCAUCAAUCCUAAAAACAAAGAAAGACUUAAGGCUUCUAGCGCUAUUAAUAGAGGCUAUGUAGAUAUAUCUAGUACUUUGGUAACAAUUGACGAAGAAAUCGUUACAUUUGAACAAGCCAUGAUCGAUGGAGUCAUCGAUACCAAUGAAGGUAUUUUGAUGAGUUACAAUGAACCUGUUGAUUUCAGCGAAGCGUUUGAAAGAGGUUUGUUGGUAGAGGUACGACCACCAGUACCAUUGAGUGAGGCCAUUGCUAAAGGAAUUUGUGACGAAGAAUCACAGUUGUUCCUAGAUCCCCAAACUGGGCAAUAUAUACCUUUGAUAGAAGCCAUUGAAAUCAAUUUAAUAGACGCUGAAUCUGUUAGUGUUAAAGAUACUCGCAUAGGAAUAUGGAGAAAGAUUCCUCUUAUUGACGCCAUACAUAACAACUACGUAGAUGGUACCACCGGUAUGGUGAAAGACUUUUCUAAGGGUGAGCCUUACGAAGUAACGUUACAGAAAGCUUUCUCCUUAGGAAUUUUGGUAGAUAAUAAAGCUGCCGUGUCCUUGCAAAGAGCUAUCCAUCAAGGUCUUUAUGACGAAAACACAGGUAAAAUAUUGGAUCCUAACACGGAUAGACGAAUUACUCUACAUGAAGCUAUUCGCAACUUUAACAUUAAUCCAUUACUUUUGUGUCAUUUGGACAAAAAUUCUGGCAAACUGCUUAACCUCACAGAUACAUGUCGGUUGGGAAUAAUCGAUAAGCGUAAUGGUACAUUCAGAGAACCCCGUACUGGCAAACCUAUCAAACUUUCUGAAGCUUUGAAUUCUGGUUUAAUUGUAGACAUUGAAACAGCCAACUUUGGUUUGUAUGAGGCUCUAGAAAUGGAACUGUAUAUUCCAGAGGAAAAAGUAUUUGUUCAUCCGGCUACAGGUCGCAAAUAUAACUUAAAGGAAGCUUGUGAAAACGAACUUAUUAAUCCUGUUACUUCACUAAUUAAAAACAGUAAAUUAAACAAAUAUGUUCAGCUACCAGAAGCUAUCGAAAGCAAUAUUAUUAAUGAUGAGUUGGCUACGUAUAUUUUCCCACACGGAAACACCAUCGAUCUGGUAGACGCAAAGAAUAAGGGUCUGAUCGUUACUGCUACAACGCCAUUAAGUUUGGAAGAAGCCAUUAAAAACUUUUUGUACAGGCCAGAAUCUGGAAAAUUCGCUGAUCCAGUUAACGGUGAAUAUUACGAUCUUUCCCAAGCUGUGUCUAUAGGUUUUAUUGAUCCAACUACUACAGGUCUACGAGAUUUAACAAACAAUAGGGUCAAAUCUUUAAUAGCUGGUAUUCAAGAUCAUAAUAUAGACGUUGAAAAGGGUAGAGUUCUUGAUUCAAAAUCUAAAAAGACUUACAACUUGGACGAAGCAUUUAAGAAAGAUUUAUUGAUAACGUUGGAAAGACCUUUGGUAGAGGAGUUUACGCAAAAAUCAAUAACAGAGUCUCAAGCAACUCCCAAACAAACUAGGGAAUGUUCUCUGGAAGAGGCACUUAAGUUUGAACUUGUGGAUCCAAGUGUGGCUGUAAUAAAAGACUUGCAAACAGGUAAAUUUAAAACUGUUGGAGAUGCUAUCGAUGAAAAGCAACUUAACGUUAACAAAAUUGUAGUUUUUGAUCCAGCAACUGGCAAAGUUAGAUCCCUUUGUUGUAUGUAUGACAAAACUAUUGUUAUCUAUUUAAAAGAACCUCUUUCGUUUAUUAAAGCUAUCGAAACCAAUCUGUUAGACGUUAAUACUGGUAAAUUUACCGAUCCACAAUCCAACGAAGUUCUGACAUUGAAAGAUUCUAUUAGUCUAGGUUUUAUUGAUCCCGAUACUGCUCUUAUCAAAGACUCGAAUAAAAAGAAACUAAUCAAACUUCCAGAAGGUUUUAGAAAGGGCCUCAUUGAAGCUGAAAAAGGAAGCGUUCUAGAUACUAGUACCUCAAAACUUUUCCCACUGCAAACUGCUCUAGAUACCGGCUUACUGAUAACUACCAACAGAAGUUUCAGUUUGAUAGAAUGUAUUACGUACGGCAUUUAUAACCAGACCACUGGUCACUUUAACGACCCAUUUGUCACUACCAACAUUAUAGAUAGAAAGAAGCUUACGCUCGAUGAAGCUUUAUCUGAGAAUUUGGUAGAUCCUAGUAGUACCGUCGUUAAAGAUUCUGAAUCCGGUGCCUUCUUGCCACUUAUAUUAUCCAUAGCAACCAAAUUAGUCGAUCCAGUAGAAGGAAAAAUAUUUGAUAAAGUCGAAAAUAAACAUAUAGAUUUCGCAAAAGCGUUGGAGAAGGGGUGGAUAUUACCUGCAGAAGAAAGGCAAGCUAUUGAAGAAAAAUACAAACUAUGCGACGAAUCUCUAUCGAAGUUACUUCGUUGGAUAGGAGACAUCGAAGAUCGCUUAGCCUCACAAGAUGUGAUUCAUGAAGUGGAAGAGGAAUUAAGGAACCAAAUUAAUACCUUGAAACAGAUCAAAGACGACUUGGACCAACAUUCUGGCCAAGUUUCUCACUGUCUCGAUCAAGUACGACAACUCGUCGUUACAGCUGGCGAUAUUCUGUCAAAAAGUGAGGUUAUGGGCCUAGAAAAGAGCGGAAGGAAUCUAAAGACUAGAUACGACAAAGCUGUCGAACGCUCAGACAAACUUUUGCGUAAACUCUUGAGCGCUAGAGACGAAUUAGCCAAACUGAAAGGAGAACUUACUGUAUUUUCCGAUUGGUUGAGUAAGGCGAGAAGAACUUUGGAAGAUAAAGAAAGGUCUUUGAGUGAUUUGCACCGUUUGGACUCUAGUGCAGAUAGUACAAAAGAAUUUGUUAGUGAUGUCAUCGCUCACCAAGCUGACUUGAGGUUUAUUACCAUGUCUGCACAGAAGUUUGUUGAUGAAGGCAAAGAAUAUCUUCAUCUUCUCAACGAUCUACGUACUUCUCUUCCUUCACGGCUGCCACACAUUGAGCCGUAUUCAUCUCAAGAAUCACCAAUACGCAACGAAGUUUCUUUGGUUACCCAGCAGUAUCGUGACCUUCUGCACCGUGCUAAUAAUCUCUCCGAUAGACUUUCUGGAGUAGGUGGCCGUCAAAGAGAGUACUCCGAUGCACUAGACAAAGCCAAAGAAUGGCUAAGAGAAGCUGAACCUAGAGCUAACAAGCUACUUAACGAACAAAUUGGUGGUGAUCCCAAAACUGUUGAAGAACAACUUCACAAAGCUAAACAACUUAACAAUGAAUUCGUCGUUAACGGCAGGCUAAUUGAUAAUGCUAAACAGGCCACCAGCGCUUUAUUAAGAUCCCUCGAAGGCCAAAUCUCCCCAUCAGAAAUGGCACGUUUAGAGGAGCCAGUUAAAAGCCUUGAAAAUAAAUACAAUCAAUUAUGCAGUGCCAUCGCUAAUCGUUGUCAAGAAUUGGACACAGCUCUUGUCCAAUCUCAAGGAGUCCAAGAUGCCCUCGAUGGAAUUAUUGAUUGGCUCAACCAAGCCGAAAACCAAUUCAAAAAUAUUCAAAAACCAGCGUCUCUCAUCAAAGAAAGGCUUGAAGAACAACUGAGAGAGCAUCGUAUUUUCCAAUCCGAUAUCGACACUCAUAUUUCCUCGAUUGACAACGUCUACAUGUCUGCCAACGAACUGAUAAUGUCAACCAGCAACGCUCGCGUAGCUAAAAAAAUUGAAGGCAAAUUGAACGAUGUUAAAGUUAGAUUCGAAAAAUUAUUUGAUAAGACACAGCAGCGAGGAGUAUUCCUUGAAGGAAUCAACCAAGAUUUAACCGUGUUUAACAAUCAAGCAACCAAAUUCGAUGAAUGGUACAACAGCGUCAUAGAAAUUAUAGAAUCUAAAGACAUGAACAGACUACCAAUGGAAGAAUACUCCAAACAAAUGAAGAAACUUGUAGCCAAUAGAGAAGACAACAGAACUAUGUACGAAGAUACAGUUAAAAUUGGUAAAGACCUCCUCAACAAACGUGAUGUAACUGACACCACGAAUGUCAGAGACCGUGUCAAGGCUUUAGAAAAUCAAUGGAAGCAACUGGACAAUCUUCUUGAAGAAAAAGCACGGCUUUCCAAGUUACGUGCAGAACAACAAAGUAAUUAUGAAGCUUUACGACAGAAAGUUAAUGAUUGGUUGAGCAAAAUGGAAACUAAAGUUUCUAGAUUAGAGGCUGUUGCAGUUCAUUUAGAUACUCUUAAGAAACAAAACGAAGAGCUUAAACCAAUCUCCAAGGAUUACAGAGAUUUUGGAAGUACCAUUGAUAAGAUCAAUGAUGUUGGUAGCGCUUAUGACAGUCUAGUAAGAGGUGACAGACCCGAAUCACCAUCAAGAAGAAAAGGCUACAGUCCUGGAAAACGUACUCCAAUUGACGGACGUUCACCGUCACCUACUAAAGGUUUAUCCCCACUAUCUCCUGGUGGAUCAAGUGGUUUUUCAUCGAGAAGAUCAAGCCAAGAUGGUUUCCAUCUUGAAGAACUGUCUAUUAUACAACAACAAUUGUCCGAAAUCAAUAACAGGUAUUCAUUGCUUGGAGUCAAACUAACUGAUAGACAAAACGAAAUUGACACCGUCCGUGAAGAGGUUAAGAAACAACUGGAAAACCUCAAGACACUUACUACUUUCCUCGACAAGAUUCAAAGACAAUUGCCCAAAGAUGUCGUUCCUAGCAGUAAAGACGAAGCAGAUAAACUCAACAAACAACUGAAACAAAUUCUCGAAGAAAUGUACGAAAAGCAGUCCUUGUUGGACUCCACCAAAACCCAAGUUAAAGAUCUUCUGCGAAGAAAACCUAAUGCUAUUGGUGCGGACAAUCUUAAUGGAGAGUUAGAGGAUGUUGUUUCCCACUGGAAGAGUCUAAACGAUCAUUUGAAAAACAAAAUUAAAUUCAUGGAAGACAUGAAGGACUUCCUCGAUACUCAUGAUUCCCUAGCUUCUUGGUUGUCGGCUAAAGAACGUAUGUUAACUGUAUUGGGACCAAUAUCUAGUGAUUCUAGAAUGGUUCAAUCCCAAGUUCAACAAGUGCAAGUACUAAGAGAGGAAUUUAGAACCCAACAACCACAACUACAACAUCUUAUUGAAGUUGGUGAUAAUGUGCUAAAUCACCUUGAACCAAAAUCGUCCGAACACCAGAAGGUUAAUAACAAAUUAGCUGUAGUUCAACAAAAAUGGGCGGAUUUAUUAAGCAAACUUGAAGAAAGAGCCGACUCACUCGGAGCAGCUGCCGACACUAGCAGAGAAUUCGAUGCACAAUUAACUCGUCUUAGAGAUGCUUUACAAGGUAUCUCUGAUAAUUUGGAUGAAGUACCACUUGAAAAAGACCCCGAAGAUCAGUUGCGUAAGGUAGAAAAUCUUGAAAGACAAUUGGAAGGGCAAAGACCACUUCUAACAGAUCUUGAAUCUAACGGAGCUCACUUAUGUGAUGUAUUAAGCGAUCCUGCUUCACGAGCUGAUAUACAAGCCAAGUUGGCCUCUGUAGGUCGUCAAUAUAACGCUUUGCAGAAGAAAUUGGACCACAAAAAAGCUGAAAUUGAAGGAUCUUUACGAGAUGGAAGACAAUUUGAAGAACAAUGUGCGAAGACACUAGGAUGGCUAUCAGAUGAAUUAGGAUCAUUGUCAGAAAGAUUCCUUAUAUCUGCUAUUAGAGACGUUUUAGAGCAACAGUUGAAUCACCAUGAGCCAAUAUAUAGGGAUGUAUUAGCUAGAGAGCACGAAGUUAUUAUGCUGUUGAACAAAGGACGAGAUAUCCUGGCUAAAAACAGUAAGAGUGAUAACAGAACUCUUCAAAGAGAUCUUGAUAAAAUUAAUCAAAACUGGGAGAAACUACGUAAAGAAACAGUAGAUAGACACACUAGACUUCAAACUUGUAAAGAGCAUUGUCGCAAGUAUUACAAAGCUUUGGAAACAUUCCUUCCGUGGUUAAGACAAGCUGAAGAUAAAUUGGAUACAUUAAGACCUUCGUCAUUCCAAAAGAAACAUAUUGAAAAACAACUAAAAGAACUCCAAGCAUUCCGUAAUGAAGUUUGGAAGAAAUCUGGAGAUUACGAAAACACCAGAUCACUCGGUGAAACAUUCCUUGCAGCUUGUGAUAUUGACAAAGACGAUGUUAAGAAUGAAUUGGGUGAUCUGAAGGAUAGAUGGGAUAGGCUGAAUAAUGACUUGAUUGCUAAAACACAAGCUUUGGAAGAUCAAGCCAGAAAACUAGCAAACUUCAGUGAAAAUGUUCGAGAUUUACAACAUGGUUUGGAAAGAUGUGAAGAUAAAUUAACUUCACAUGAUGCUUUGGGAGGUGCUGCUAAAGACCCUAAACUCCUAGACCGCAUUAAGGCACUCCGGGAAGAAACCAUAAAGCUGAAAAAACCAUUACAAGGCGUUCGUCAACAAGCUAACGAUUUGUGCAAUGAAGCAUCACAACAUCACAUUGAUGCUGAUCAUCUUAAAGAUGAAGUCGAUGGCAUAGGUGAUCGAAUUGAUGAUUUAUGUGCUAAAUUAGAUGACCGCUGUUCAGAUUUGCAAUCGGCUGCUACAGCUGUAACACAGUUCAACGAUGAAGUGAAAGAAAUAACUCAAGAUUUAUCUGCUUUAGAAACAGAAUUAGACGAUAUGAAACCUCCUGGUAGAGAAGUGAAGGUUGUUAGAGGCCAAAUAGAUGAUGUAAACAAAUUCCUCACCAAGGUUAAUAAAGCAAGUGACAAUCUUAAGCAUGCCAUUAAUUCUGGUGAAAGAUUGGUGGAUAGUGGAUUUGCUCCUGAUACUGUACUUACUAGACAACAGUUGGAUACAUUAAAGAAACAAUUAGGAAAACUAGAUGACCGAGCUCAAAACAGAGAAAAAGAUCUAGAAAACACGCUAAAGAAACUGGAAGGUUUCUAUAUAUCCCACGCAAGUGUUUUAGACGAUAUUCAAGAUGCCUCAGGAGAAUUGCGUAAACUUAAGCCAGUAGGUUCCGAAGUCGAUAGUAUUAGAGCUCAACAGAAAGAUUUCAAGAAAUUCAGAGCUAAUACAAUUGAACCUUUGGGUAAGAAUAUUGAAGAAGUCAAUAGGUUAGGACAAGGUCUGAUUCAAUCUGCUUCAUCUGGUGUCAACACUGCUAUUCUCGAAAAAGAUUUAGAAAGAAUGAAUGCUCUAUGGAAUGAUCUUAAAGAAAAGAUUAAUGACAGGGAAAGGAAACUUGACAUUGGUUUAUUACAAUCUGGUAAAUUCCAAGAAGCUUUGGACGGUUUAUCUAAAUGGUUAACGGAUACUGAAGAGAUGGUAGCUAACCAAAAACCACCAUCCGCCGACUACAAAGUCGUUAAAGCACAAUUGCAAGAGCAGAAGUUCCUUAAAAAGAUGCUUCUUGACCGACAGAACUCCAUGACAUCACUGUUUAAUAUGGGUAACGAAAUCGCCAAAGAAGCUGAGCCAUCUGAACGCAAAGCUAUCGAAAAACAACUUAAAGAUCUUAUUGCUCGCUUCGAUGCAUUGACGGAAGGAGCCCAACAACGUACCAUGGAUUUGGAACAAGCUAUGAGAGUAGCGAAAGAAUUCCAAGACAAACUUAUACCUCUACAAGAUUGGUUAGAUCGUGCCGAAAAGAAAGUCAAAGAUAUGGAACUGGUUCCUACUGACGAAGAAAAGAUAGAGCAAAGAAUCCGUGAACAUGAUGUUCUCCACAACGAUAUUCUUGGCAAGAAAGUUGAUUUUAAAGAACUUACAGAAAUCGCUUCGAAUUUGAUGUCUCUUGUUGGAGAAGACGAAGCUUCUGGAUUAGCUGACAAAUUACAAGAGGUCACAGAUCGGUACGGAAACUUGGUGGAAGCCAGUGAGCACAUUGGACAACUUUUAACAGCUUCAAGACAAGGUCUUAGACAUCUUGUCCUCACUUAUCAAGAUUUGGCUGCCUGGAUGGAUCAAAUGGAACAACGGUUAUCUCGUUAUAAAGUUCUUGCUGUUCAUAACGACAAACUUUUGGAACAAAUGGACGCUCUAACAGAUCUUUCUGAAAAUAUUGCCAGCCGUCAAAAUGACAUUGACGGUACAGUUGAUGCGGGAGUAGAAUUAAUGAGACACAUUUCUUCUGAUGAAGCCUUAGAACUUAAAGAUAAGUUGGACUCCUUGCAACGUAGAUACAAUGAUUUAACAACCAAGGCAGCAGAUCUUUUGAAACAUGCUGAAACAAUACUACCGCUGGUACAGAAGUUCCAUACUAAUCACAACCGCUUAGUUGAUUGGAUGCAAGGUGCUGAGAACAUUUUACAAUCAGCUGAACCACAUGAAGGUGAUAUUGCACGUUUAGAAAUAGACCUACAAGAACUAAGACCGGUGCUAGAAACUAUUAAUGUACUAGGCCCACAAUUAUGCCAAGCUAGUCCUGGAGAAGGUGCUGCUACGAUCGAGGGACUUGUUACGAGAGACAAUAGAAGAUUUGAUGCCAUCGCCGAACAAAUUCAAAGAAGAGCAGAGAGAAUCCAACUUGGAAAACAAAGAGCUUUGGAAGUUACCGGUGAUAUAGAUGAGCUCUUAGAAUGGUUCAGGGAAGUAGAAGGACAGCUGAGAGAUGCCGAGAAACCAUCUGGAGAACCCGAUUUGAUCAGAAUUCAACUUAAAGAACAUAAAGCGCUUAAUGACGAUAUUUCUAGCCAGAAGAGUAGAGUACGUGACGUCUUGUCAUCUGCUAAGAAAGUUUUACGUGAAAGUCCACCAAGCGAAGACACUAGCCUUAUUAGAGAGAAAAUGGAAGAUUUAAGAGAAGUUAUGGAUGUUGUGUCUGGAUUAAGUUCUGAUAGAUUGGGAAUUUUGGAACAAGCACUACCACUAGCUGAGCACUUCCACGAUACGCACAAUGUACUUGUAUCUUGGUUGAACGAUAUGGAAGAACAGGUAUCUAUGUUAACAAUGCCUGCUUUAAGACCCGAUCUAAUAGCUCAACAACAAGAUCGUAACGAAAUGUUCUUACAAUCCAUAAACGAACACAAACCACUCAUAGACAAACUAAACAAAACCGGAGAAGCUCUUAUUAACUUGUGUAACGAAGAUGAUGGUAGUAAAGUACAGGAAUUGCUUGACUCUGAUAAUGCUAGAUACGGCGCUCUUAAACUAGAACUCAGAGAACGCCAACAAGCCUUGGAACAAGCUUUACAGGAAAGCUCCAAAUUUUCUGAUAAACUUGAAGGAAUGCUCCGCGCUUUGUCUAACACAGCAGAUCAAGUAAAUCAUUUAGAGCCAAUAUCUGCACAUGUACCUAAAAUUAAAGAUCAAAUUGAGGACAAUGAUAAUUUAGUUGCCGAUUUAGAUAAACGAAAAGAAGCUUAUGCAGCUGUCAAACGCGCUGCUGACGACGUUAUCAGUAAGGCAGGAAAUAGGGCUGAUCCAGCCAUUAGGGAGAUCAAGGCCAAAUUAGAGAGACUGAAGAGUUUGUGGGAUGACGUGCAAAAAGCGACACAAACUAGAGGGAAAUCGCUGGACCAUGCUUUGGAAGCAGCUCAGAAGUUCUGGAAAGAAUUACAUGCCAUCAUGGCAACACUCAAAGACCUUGAAGAUUCUCUGGUAUGCCAAGAACCUCCAGCCGUUGAGCCUAAGGCUAUUCAAGAGCAACAGGUUGCUUUACAAGAGAUCAGACAGGAGAUCGAUCAGACCAAACCCAACGUUGAUAGAGUGAGAAGUUCUGGGGAGAAAUUGAUGAAAUUGUGUGGUGAGCCUGAUAAACCGGAUGUGAAGAAACAUAUUGAAGACUUGGAUCAUGCCUGGGAUAAUAUCACUGCUCUGUAUGCCAAACGUGAAGAAAACCUCAUUGAUGCCAUGGAAAAAGCUAUGGAAUUCCAUGAAACACUACAGAACCUUCUUGCAUUCUUGACCCAAGCUGAAGGCAAAUUCGAAAAACUAGGUCCACUGGGAACAGAUAUUGAUGCCGUCAAAAAACAAAUCGAUCAAUUAAAGAAAUUCAAAGCUGAGGUUGAUCCUCAUAUGGUCAAAGUUGAAGCUUUAAACAGGAGUCUCGUAAGGCAAGCUCAAGAACUCACAGAACGCACAUCAUCAGAUCAAGCAGCCUCCAUCAAAGAACCACUUUCAGCUGUCAACAGAAGGUGGGAUGAUCUUCUUAGAGGAAUCGUAGAAAGGCAAAGGCAGCUUGAGAAUGCCUUGUUGCGUUUGGGUCAAUUCCAACACGCUCUUAAUGAGCUCCUCGUAUGGAUCUCCAAGACUGAUGCUACCUUAGACGAGUUAAAACCCGUUGCGGGAGAUCCACAAGUAUUGGAGAUCGAAUUAGCUAAAUUAAAGGUUUUGGUUAAUGACAUACAGGCGCAUCAAACUAGUGUCGAUACUCUUAAUGAUGCUGGAAGACAAAUAAUUGAAAGUGGUGAAUCCGAUGAAGCCAGUGUUACCCAAGAAAAACUCAACACGCUGAAUACUCAAUGGCGUUCUCUAAUGCAGAAAGCAGCGGAUAGACAAAGGGAGCUUGAAGAUGCGCUUACAGAUGCUCAGAGAUUUAAUGCUGAGAUUCAAGAUCUUCUGUCGUGGUUAGGAGAUGUCGAUGGAAUCAUUACCGCCAGUAAACCAGUUGGAGGGUUACCAGAAACCGCCUCCGAGCAAUUGGAGAGGUUCAUGGAAAUAUAUAAUGAAAUAGAGGAUAACAGACCUAAAGUUGAGACAGUCUUAGCGCAAGGUCAAGAAUAUCUGAAGAAAGCUACUUCACCUGCAUCUAACUUACAGCAGAAUUUGCGCACAUUAAAACAAAGAUGGGAUAAUGUCACUGCCAGAGCUAACGACAAGAAGAUCAAAUUAGAAAUUGCUCUUAAGGAAGCUACAGAGUUCCACGAAUCACUACAAGCAUUCGUUGAUUGGCUAACUAAUGCAGAGAAACAUCUUCAAAAUGUGAAACCAGUUUCUAGGGUUUUGGAAACUAUUCAGAAUCAAAUAGAAGAACACAAAGUUUUCCAAAAAGACGUUAGUGCCCACAGAGAGAUAAUGCUUGCUUUAGACAAAAAGGGAACGCAUCUCAAGUAUUUCAGUCAAAAACAAGAUGUCAUACUAAUCAAAAACUUACUUAUCAGUGUACAGCACAGGUGGGAGAGAGUCGCUUCCAAAUCAACUGAAAGAACUAGAGCACUUGACUUGGGUUACAAAGAAGCCAAAGAGUUCCACGAUUCUUGGACUUCCCUCAUGCAUUGGUUAGACGAAACUGAAGAAUCUCUUGAUGAACUUCAGUCUGAAGCCAUCAGCAAUGAUCCUAGUAAGAUCAAGCAACGUCUUGCCAAACAUCAGGAACUGCAAAAAGCUCUAUCUGGUAAACAGGGCACUUAUGAUAACGUAAUGAAGACUGGUAAGCAGCUUAAAGACAAAGCUCCCAAACCUGAUGAACCUACUCUUAAACAUAUGCUCUCGGAACUGAAGAGCAAAUGGAAUUCAGUUUGUCAUAAGAGCGUUGACAGGCAACGCAAACUUGAAGAAGCUCUCUUAUAUUCAGGACAGUUCAAAGACGCCAUAGCAGCUUUAGUCCAAUGGCUACAAAAAGCUGAAAAAGAUCUUUCAAAGGACAGUCCUGUUCAUGGUGAUUUGGAUACCGUUAAUCAUUUAGUAGAGGCGCACAAAGUGUUUGAAAAAGAACUAGAAAAACGUAACGACCAAAUGGAAUCAGUUAUUAAAAAUGGUCAGGAGUUAGAAAGAACUGCAUCCAAAACUGACGCUAUCCAGAUUAGAGCUCAAUUAAAUGAACUAACCGAACUUUGGGAAACGGUGACAGACUUAACAAGAAUCAGAGCAGAUAAGUUAAGAGAUGCACUGAAAGAAGCCGAAAAACUUCAUAGAUCCGUGAACAUGAUCCUCGACUGGUUGUCCGAAGCUGAAAUGAAACUGAGAUUUGUUGGUAACCAACCCGAAGAUGAAGCAACUGCUUACGAACAAGUUAAAGCUUUGGAUCACUUCAGAGCUCAACUAAAUGAAAAAGAAAUCGAGAAAGAUCAAACUCUUGAACUAGCCCACAACAUUCUUGCAAAGGCCCAUCCAGAUUCCAUCAACGUUAUCAAAAAUUGGAUUAAAGUUAUUCAAAGCAGAUGGGACGAAGUGUCACAAUGGGCUCUUCAACGUCACCAGAAACUGUCACAGCACUUACAGUCGCUCAGAGAUAUGGACGAUACUUUGGAAGAACUUAUCCAAUGGCUCAUGGGUCUUGAGAACACUCUUAUUGCUCUGAAGCGCGAAGAAUUGCCUAUGGACAUUCCAGCCACCGAACAGCUUAUUGCGGACCACAAAGAGUUUAUGGAGAAUACGCAGAAGAGGCAAGCAGAGGUCGAUAGGGUUUGUAAAGCCAAGCAGGUUAAGCCUGCAGCUGGCGUUAAAGAUCCUAAGAAGUUCGUCAAAGGCAAAGGACAAAUUCGUGGUUCUCAGCUUGACAUUCAUGAUUCCACGCAAGACAUCUACGGCGCACUUGGUCGCAAGCAAAGCUUCAAAGGCUCGAGGAAUGACCUACAAAGAGGAAGUCGCGUCAGCCUGUCUGGACGGGAUCUUCUUAGCCCGGAUCCGAACUUACCACACAUCGGUCCAAGGUUUCCACCUGCAGGAAGCGAACCAGAAUUCCGGUCACCAAGAGUCAAAUUCUUAUACGACAAAUGGCGUCACGUAUGGAUGCUAUCAUGGGAAAGACAAAGAGAAUUGUACGAUCAUCUGGCUUAUCUGAAGGAAAAGGAAAAGGCCGACAACUUCUCUUGGGACGAUUGGAGAAAACGCUUCUUGAAAUUCAUGAAUUACAAGAAGUCCAGGUUGACAGAUCUCUUUAGGAAGAUGGAUAAGGAUAACAACGAACUGAUUCCCAGAGAUGACUUCAUUGAAGGAAUCAUCAAGACCAAAUUCGACACCUCCCGCCUUGAGAUGAAACACGUAGCAGACAUGUUCGACGAGAACAACCGAGGACUGAUCGACUGGAAGAAGUUCAUAGCAGCUCUCAGACCCGAUUGGGAGGAAAAGGCGCCUGACAACGACGCCCAAAAGAUCCAUGACGAAGUCAAGCGAUUGGUUAUGUUAUGUACUUGCCGACAGAAAUUCAGAGUUUUCCAAGUAGGAGAGGGAAAAUACAGGUUUGGAGAAAGUCAGAAACUACGUCUAGUCCGUAUCCUCCGAAGUACUGUGAUGGUACGUGUAGGAGGUGGUUGGGUAGCUCUAGACGAGUUCCUACUGAAGAAUGAUCCUUGCAGAGCCAAAGGACGCACAAAUAUAGAGCUGCGCGAGCAAUUCAUCUUAGCUGACGGGGUUUCGCAAACUAUGACGGCGUUCAAGCCCAAAACGUCGGCGUCUAGUCCCACGUCUGGUUCUUCGGCAUCACGCACACCUCAGGGCCCCAUUACGAAGGUCAGAGAACGUUCCCAGCGAUCAGUGCCCAUGGGCAGCCUACCAAGAACAUCGAAAUCGUCUCUCUCAGCUGGAACCCCAGACUCUCUCUCAGAUAACGAAAGUUCUACAUUCCGUACUCCCAGGAAGCCGUCCUACAGGUCAACGUUAACUCCAGGCGGUUCAAGAAGUAAUUCUAGGCCCCAAUCCAGGACUGGAAGCAGGCCGGGCAGCAAGCCGCCGUCUAGGCACGGAUCGAACCUUUCUUUGGAUAGCACAGAUGAUGCUACUCCAUCGAGAAUACCAAGAAGGACACCAACAUCAGGAAGAAGCUCAGCUCUUUCGACGACUAAAAGCAUCAACGGUUCUGGCUCUAGGCCACGCACACCAAGCGGUUUGAUAUCUCCAGCUAGUCCCGUUGGAAGACGAAAAAGCCCUGAGUCAACUUAUUCUUUCCGGCUGAAAAGUCGUAGUCCACGGAAAGAUUCAAACUAGAGUGCAAGUUCAAGCAAAGUAAAACAAGUGACUAUUGGCGUUGCCCCUUCGCUAAGGACAGCCUCUAGGACCCGGACACCUUCAGGAUCCAACACACCCGUACAUCCGGAUCAACAGACAGCAGUUUCCAAACUACUAAAACGUUCCACGGGUGGCACAGACACUCCCACAAGCCAAACUAGAAAGAAAAA
rnacentral:misc_RNA from 1 species